rnacentral:rRNA from 1 species
GACGAACGCUGGCGGCGUGCUUAACACAUGCAAGUCGAACGGAAAGGCCCUGCUUUUGUGGGGUGCUCGAGUGGCGAACGGGUGAGUAACACGUGAGUAACCUGCCCUUGACUUUUGGAUAACUUCAGGAAACUGGGGCUAAUACCGGAUAGGAGCUCCUGCUGCAUGGUGGGGGUUGGAAAGUUUCGGCGGUUGGGGAUGGACUCGCGGCUUAUCAGCUUGUUGGUGGGGUAGUGGCUUACCAAGGCUUUGACGGGUAGCCGGCCUGAGAGGGUGACCGGCGACAGUGGGACUGAGAUACGGCCCAGACUGCUACGGGAGGCAGCAGUGGGGAAUAUUGCACAAUGGGCGGAAGCCUGAUGCAGCAACGCCGCGUGCGGGAUGACGGCCUUCGGGUUGUAAACCGCUUUCGCCUGUGACGAAGCGUGAGUGACGGUAAUGGGUAAAGAAGCACCGGCUAACUACGUG